GCUUUGGUGGCCUAGUGGUUAGAGUGUCCACCUCGGAUGCAGGAGGUCAUGAGUUUGAUCCCCAGCUGAGUCA